rnacentral:rRNA from 1 species
AUUGAACGCUGGCGGCAUGCCUUACACAUGCAAGUCGAACAGCAGCACGGGUGCUUGCACCUGGUGGCGAGUGGCGAACGGGUGAGUAAUACAUCGGAACGCACCUUAUCGUGGGGGAUAACGCAGCGAAAGCUGUGCUAAUACCGCAUACGCCCUGAGGGGGAAAGCGGGGGAUCGCAAGACCUCGCGCGAUUAGAGCGGCCGAUGCCUGAUUAGCUUGUUGGUGGGGUAAAAGCCCACCAAGGCGACGAUCAGUAGCUGGUCUGAGAGGACGAUCAGCCACACUGGGACUGAGACACGGCCCAGACUCCUACGGGAGGCAGCAGUGGGGAAUUUUGGACAAUGGGGGCAACCCUGAUCCAGCAAUGCCGCGUGAGUGAAGAAGGCCUUCGGGUUGUAAAGCUCUUUUGUCAGGGAAGAAACACCGGCUCUAACACAGUCCGGGAAUGACGGUACCUGAAGAAUAAGCACCGGCUAACUACGUGCCAGCCGCCGCUGUAA